rnacentral:lncRNA from 1 species
CGAUUGUCGCCUACCUCCACUCCUCACCAGGACGCUGGUAAUAUGAACUCUCUCUUCUCCUCUCUGUUUACCAAUUCUUCUAUUGUAUAGAAGCAUCUUUAUGUCAUAUGUCAACUUGUGAAAUUAGGGGAAGGAAUUAGUGUCAGGCUGCGUUAUCUGAAGAUUCACAUUCAGAGUACUGUGGCGAUUCCGGCACAUAACGGUUUGGGAGAUCCAACGGCCUAGAUUUGUUCCUCAAGCAGCUAGCGUCGCCAGCCGUUAGUUUGUUUUCCGUUACUAUUACUUUUCGUGUACGUCUGUCGACAGCUAGACAACUACCUACAUAACAGCCGGGUUGUGGCUGAGGAAGGCAUUGAAUCUUGUGUGAUCCUCAUCGAGGAUAAACCAUAUACUCAUACGGCAUAGCCGAUAGCAAUACCAAAUCCCUAAUCGGUGCCUCUUUCCUCGCAAUUACUUGUGAUUCAUCCAUACAUCUCCUUCCUCUGAACCUGUAGGACGACUAGGACCUAACAAAUUGGUAAUCAGAGCAGUGGUUCCUCGGUACCUUCCGAUCCGGUCUGAAAUUUUUCCAAGAGAGGCAAUAACACCCACCCAAUUUCCCUCCCUGUGUUGUGUGGUGAUGGCAGGCGGCGAUCGAUGGCGCGGUGAAGUUGUUUCUUGACUGUGACAUCUGGCGGCGGUGGAUCCAGGGUGGCGCAGGUGGCGGCGAUAGUUCGGGUAUAGAUUAGUAGAGCGGAGUGGUUGUGCUGGAUCACUUCCAGCAAGGUAAAAUCCCACGUCCUUCGUUGAUCAGUGUACCUUGGGAGGCGUGGAGCAUUGGCGGCGGCAGGAUUUGGUUUAGAGAGGCUGGCUGCCGUGUUUGCGGUGGUAAAAUUCCCCCUCUCUUCUCUAGAUCACGGUGAUGGGGCGCUCGAAGGCAGUUGAUGAGGCCGAGUGGCAGGAGGUGCUUUCUCUCCGAGAGGAAUUUGGUGCAGUACAACAGGAAAGUGCAACGAUGCGAACAGAUGUGUCAAAAUUACAGGAAGAUGUUCAGUCCAUCAGCUCCAAACAAGAUGACAUAGCACUGCAAGUGGGAGAAAUUGAGCGAGCAGUGUUAGAUCUGGGAAAACAAUUAUCCACAAUGAGUUCGGUUUUGCAGCAAUUGGUAGCUCCAUCCGGAUCAGGCACUAGAAAUGAACAACAACCUGAAGUUGACAUUGUUGUUCGCUCCCCAACAUUGCAAGAACAAUAGCAAGACAGACCACCUAGCAGAACUGCACAGCAGAGGCAACAGUUAGAAGCAGAAAAGGAAAAGACAAGACAAAUGGAAGAAUUCCACACUCAACAACUACCUCAGAUCAGAACUGCCAGAAAUGCACCACCACCUGGGUUUGGAGCUCAAGCUAACUUGGAGACAGCAAGUGUUGUGGGAACACCAGUAACACAAAGAAAGGGAAAUAACACCCCUGUUUUCCAACAGUAUCAGCAACCACCUCGAGACAGGCAAUUGUGGCAGGGUUACUUCAGGACUUAUGAGCAGGAUAUGCAGGCUCAAUUCAUGAAGACAAUGACCAAAGGCCCAAGGAUGGAUUCUCCUACGUUCUCUGGUGAAGACCCUGUAGGGUGGAUUAGACAGUGUAACAAAUAUUUCCAAAUGGCAGCAGCACCUGAAGAGUACAAAGUUUCACUUUCUCAGAUGUACAUGACUGGAGAGGCUGAUGUUUGGUUAAGAAGGUCUGGUUUGCUCAAGAAACAAUUAUCAUGGCAAGAACUUGGAAAAGAGAUCAUUAAGAGAUUCUCUGCACAAGGUUCUUAUGAUCUUACUCACAAAUUCACUUCUCUCAAACAAGGAAAUACUACAGUGUCUGAGUACACAAAAUUGUUUGAGGACUUAAUGGCUGAACUGCAGGAGGAAAAUCCUACACUGUCUGAACCUUGGUUUAUUAAGUCCUAUGUGAAUGGGAUGAGAGAUGGAAUAAAGUAUCAACUGAGACUUCUUAGACCCAUUUCUCUCACUGAUGCAUAUUUCCUGGCAAAGGAGAUUGAACCUUGUCACCCUCCUCCAGUGACACAGGUCAAGAAGUCCAUAGUGCCUUACAACAAUUAUUGGCAGAAAACUGUCACACCUGUAGCUGGCAAACAAGUGACAAAUACUGCUACAGUCCCAACAACUAUUGCCACAAAGAACACUGAACAUGUUAAUAGCCACAUUCAGAAAAGCAGAAAGGUGGGAGAAUGCUGGAGAUGUGGUGAUAAGUGGGUCCAUGGCCACAAGUGCACUCUAGUUCCUAAUGUGCACUUGUUACAACAAGAAAUGGAAGAAUUUGGUCCUGAAGAAACAGAUCUGGAUCAAUAGGAAGUAAUGGAAGUAGGAAUGGAAGAACAUGAGCAAUCAAUGUUUGUAUCUGCACAUGCUAUGGGCCAACAACUGGCUGUGCAAUCUCCCACGGUAAUUGUGCAUGUAAAUGGAAAAAGACCAGUAACACUAUUGGAUACAAGAAGUUCCACAUCUUUCAUCAGUGAGCAGUUUGCUAUUAAAUCAAACUGUCAACUACUUCUUGUUAAGCCUAGAAAAGUUACUGUAGCUGGAGGAGGACUGCUGCUUUCUGAUGCUGUAGUUCCAAAUUGUGCUUUCCAACUAGCCAAGCUAAAGUUAGAGCACUCUUUCAGAAUUCUCAACCUUCCAAGCCAUGAUAUGAUCUUAAGAUAUGAUUGGUUCUCAUUGGUCAGUCCAGUAGCCUUUGAUGUGCCAAAUAAUCAAUUCAGUUUCACUCUCCAAGGAAAAACAACAGUCACAACAGCAGUAUACAACUCCAAUGAGGAAAUCUUGGAAAUACGAGCAGAACAAGUAACUAAGUUGUUGGACAAGGGUGUGGAAACUUUUCUCCUCCAAAUUCACAAUAUUGUGGCUCAAACCCCUGAAAAGCACUGUAUCCCAGCUGUAAUAAACAAAUUGUUACAGGAGUACAAGGAUGUUUUUGCAGAACCAACAACAUUACCUCCCAAGAGAGAAUUGGACCAUAAAAUCCAUUUAAUGCCAGGAGUGGAUCCACCUCAUGUAAGGCCAUAUAGAGUUCCUCAUCAUGAAAAGGAAGAAAUGGAAAAGCAGAUCAAACACCUGCUGGAUAAUAAGCUCAUAAGGAACAGCCAGAGUCCAUAUGCAGCUCAUGUUCUGCUAGUAAAAAAGAAAGAUAGUACUAUGAGGCUUUGUACUGAUUUCAGAAAGUUGAACACUAUAACAGUGAAGAACAAGUUCCCUAUACCAGUCAUUGAGGAUCUACUGGAUGAGCUGCAUGGAGCAAAGACUUUUUCCAAAAUUGACUUAAAGUUAGUAUAUCAUCAAAUAAGAAUGGACCCUGCAGACAUUCAUAAAACUGCAUUCAAAACUUUUGUGGGGCACUAUGAGUACUUGGUGAUGCCUUUUGGAUUGUCUAAUGCACCAGCAACAUUCCAAGCUCUCAUGAAUUUCUUGUUUGCUAAGUACAAUAGGAAGUUUGUACUGGUGUUUUUUGAUGACAUCCUAUUGUUCAGCAACACUGUUGAAGAGCAUGUAGAACAUUUAAAGCAAGUGUUGCAAGUCUUGAGAGAAAACAAGUUGUUUGCAAAAAUGUGCAACUGUGCUUUUGCAGUUCCUCAAGUGGAAUAUUUGGGACAUGUAGUUUCUGGAGAAGGAUUAGCUACUGAGCCCAGCAAGAUUAAAGCAAUUGUGGACUAGCCUACACCCACUGAUAUCACUAAGCUGAGGAGUUUCUUGGGCCUAGCUGGUUACUACAGAAGGUUCAUUAAAGAUUAUGGAACAAUUUGCAGGCCUCUGUAUGAUGCUCUAAAGAAAGGGAAAUUCUAGUGGACAGCAGAGAAAGAUAAGGCUUUCAAGAGAUUACAACAAGCUUUGGUAACAACUCCAGUACUAGCCCUGCCCAAUUUCAAUGUCCCUUUUACCCUAGAAACUGAUGCUUCAGGCUAUGGCAUUGGUGAUGUCCUUAUGCAAGAAGGCAGACCAUUAGCAUACUAUAGUUCUUCACUCUGUCCAAGAAAUGUUGCCAUGUCUACUUAUGAGAAACAAGCACUUGCAAUCUUGGAGGCAUUAAAGAAAUGGAGACAUUACUUACUGGGAAAUUCAGUAAUCAUCAAAACUGAUCAGCAGUCUUUGAAAUUCAUAACUGACCAAAAGAUUACUGAAGGGAUACAACACAAAUUAAUGAUGAAGUUGCUAGAGUUCAACUUCACCAUUUAGUAUAAAAAGGGCAUUUCCAACAGAGUGGCUGAUGCUCUAUCUAGAGUACUUCCCAAAUGCAUGUCUAUCUCCACUGUUACUCCAGAGUGGGCAAAGGAGUUACUUAACAGUUAUCAAACUGAUCCAACCACCAAGAAGUUGCAGGAAAAAUUAUUAGUACGAUCUCCUGAGGACAAAUCUGAUUAUUCCAUACAUGUUGGCAUUAUCAGAUUUAAAGGCAAAAUCCUGGUGGGAAAUGACAACAACCUAAGGGAGAGAUUAAUUUCUGCUCUACAUAACUCACCUGUGGGAGGACAUUCAGGUAUGAGAGCCACAUAUCAGAGAGUGAAAGGAAUUUUCUAUUGGCCAGGUCUUAAGCAAGCUGUGGAAUAGUUCAUAGCUACUUGUCCAAUUUGUCAGAGAGCAAAGCAUGAAAAUUGCUUACAACCAGGACUUCUAGAUCCUUUGCCAGUUGCUGACAUGGCUUGGCAACAUAUCUCAAUGGAUUUCAUAGAAGGACUUCCCAAUUCCCAAGGGAAGGAUGUGAUUCUAGUGGUAGUUGGCAGGUUCACCAAGUACUCUCAUUUCAUACCUCUCUCACAUCCUUAUACUGUCCAUAGUGUAGCUCAAGCUUUUGUUGAUAACAUUAUCAAACUUCAUAGACCUCCAACACUCAUUAUCUCUAACAGAGAUAGAAUCUUUACCAGCCAACUAUGGAGAGACAUCUUUGCUGCAUACAAAAGUGAACUAAGGUACAGUUCAGCCUACCACCCUCAAACAGAUGGCCAAACAGAAAGGAUAAAUCAGUGCUUAGAGACAUACUUAAGGUGUAUGACUACACAAGAACCAAAGAAGUGGCUAGCAUGGCUUCCUCUAGCUGAGUAUUGGUACAAUACCAGCUAUCACACAACAUUGAAAAUGAGCCCCUUUCAAGCACUAUAUGGAUUCCCUCCCCCACUAAUUGCAGAGUUAGCAAUCGCUGGACCUGAUAAUGAGGAAGCACAGGACUUCUUAACAGCCAAGCAGAAUAUGUUGCACCAAUUGAAAGAAAACUUGCUGCAAGCUAAGAAUAGAAUGAAAAAGUAUGCAGAUUUGAAAAGAGUAGAGAGAAAAUUUGAAGUGGGUGAUUUGGUUUACCUGAAGAUGGCACCAUACAGGCUUGCAGCAUUUGGGUUCAGAGGAGCAAUUAAACUGCACAACAAAUACUAUGGACCAUUCUUGGUGAUCCAGAAAAUUGGCAACAUUGCGUAUAAGUUGCAAUUUCCAGAACAAGUGCAGAUGCACCUAGUUUUCCAUGUCACUCAGUUAAAAAAGCACUUGGGUCACAAGUCCAUUCCCAGCCCGCAUCUACCAAUGGUGAAUGUUGAUGGCACUAUCAAGACAGAACCUGCUCAAGUCUUGGAAGUCAGGAAGGUCCCUCGCAAAAACGUGCCAGUGGUACAGUGGUUGAUUCAAUGGGAAAAUAUACCAGCGGAGGAUGCAACCUGGGAAGAUGCUGAGUUCAUCAAGCACACCUUUCCGGCGUUCUUUCGGGCAACGACUGGAGCAUGGAGGACAAACAAAAAUACGCUGUGAGGACACGUCGGUUCUUCGGGAGGGGGUAAUGUCAGGCCGCGUUAUCUGAAGAUUCACAUUUAGAGUAUUGUGGCGAUUCCGGCACAUAACGGUUCGGGAGAUCCAACGGCCUAGAUUUUUUCCUCAAGCAGCUAGCAUCGCCAGCCGUUAGUUUGUUUGCCGUUACUGUUACUUUUCGUGUACGUCUGUCGACAGCUAGACAACUACCUACAUAAUAGCCGGGUUGUGGCUGAGGAAGGCAUUGAAUCUUGUGUGAUCCCCAUCGAGGAUAAACCCUAUACUCAUACGGCAUAACCGAUAGCAAUACCAAAUCCCUAAUCGGGGCCUCUUUCCUCGCAAUUACUUGUGAUUUGUCCAUACAUCUCCUUCCUCUGAACCUGUAGGACGACUAGGACCUGACAAUUAGAGAUUGGUAUUUAGUAAUUGGUAAUUAGCACUGUUGUGCGUGUAAAAGCUACUCAUAUUCACGGUACUACAUAGUUGUUCUGGGGUAUGCAAAGUCAUUUGCCUUCAUGUUUUAUCUUUGAUCUUCCCUACCUUAUUUUCAGAACUUGUGGAUAUCUUCUCUUCCAGAACUUUGUUGGCGAAGUUAUAAAAAUCUUACUUCAGAAACUUGUGAUUCUUUAACAAAACCUUGUUAUCCAUGUACUUACUUAAAAACAGAUUACAUCAUAGUCAAAUAAUGCCAACAAUUUUCAUUAUUUACUGAAUAAUAUAGAUAUAAAGUUGGUUGUAGCUUUGGUAGUUCAUAUAGAAGCAUAAAAAUGUGCUCACUUUGUCCCUGUUUUGUGAAAAGAAGAUCUAAUGCCUGGUGUAUUUUUCUGUUCCAUGUCGUCUACCUCAUGAUCUUCAAGUGUAUUGCAAUUCUAGUGCUUUGAGAUAUACUUGCCGUAUUCAUGUGUCGUUAUCUCAAAUCACUAAAAUUGCAAACAUCCUAUGUAGUUUGUACAUGAAUCACUACUACCCAUAUAAAAGAAUCAUAGAGCAGCAAAAAAUGAUAAUGACUCAAAUGUAAAUAUGUAGAAGUAUACCUAAUACUAACAUAAGUGAGUGCUACUUCUAAUUCUUUUUUGAGGGCUGCCUUACUGUAGAAGGGAAGGAGAAAACCCAAUCUGAGCAAAUCAAAUACACAAUCACCCAUAUCCCAGCAAAAUUAACAAUCAAAUGGGCCCACGAGCGCCUUCCAAAUCCACGAUGCACCAGGUGGCUAGAAUUCAAGAGAGCUUAGUAACUAGUUAGAUUAGACUAGAGAUUAUUAGUGUAUAUGAUGAAUGAUGUUGUUGUCCACAUUGUCUUGAUUGUCCGAUUUGAGUUGUUGUUUGCUAGUUGCGUAUAUCUGGAUCUUGUGCUUCCUAAUUGCUAGCAUAUCUAUAGUUGUUGGUUACUCUGUAGAAGUAAACAACUACCGGUAGACCAUUUGACCAAUCUAUCUUCCGUUGUUGCAAUAGUGAUAGUUUGGAUCAUUUGUGUAUUAGAACCAACAGAUAUAUACCAGAGCUGCUAUUGACACUCCAUGAACCGAGUCUGUUUAAGGCAUUAUAGGAAGACAUGUUAGUUUUGUCCCUUGUCACUCAGCGCAGUAACUACAUUUCUUUUUGUUACAGUGUAUCGAUGGAUUUAGAAUCUAUAAAGGAGCUAUUGCUUUCUCCUAGACCCAGUGAGGAAUACUUGGCUGGUGUAGAUGGUUUUCUUGACUUUGCGUACAUCAGAAAAAGUUCUGAUGCCAAGAUCCGUUACACAUGCGUCAUACUUCCUCCGUCCGGAAAUACUUGUCAUCAAAAUGAAUAAAAGGGGAUGUCUCUAGACGUAUAUUAGUUCUAGAUACAUCUCUUUUUAUCCAUUUUGAUGACAAGUAUUUUCGGACGGAGGGAGUACAUGUCAAUGCAUCUUUAUGGAAGCGGGAGGACGUGUAUGAUCACGUGGUUUGUAGCGCAUUUUCACCUGGAUAUACUGUUUGGGGUUGCCAUGGGGAAACAGCAUCAUUCAUCUCUACUAACAAACAAGGUGAAACUCCAACACACACAAGAAGUAACAAAAGGUCACGAUCACAGUUUGAAGGAACAAAAUCUAAUAUGCGUCAGUUAGUGGAAGAUGUUUUCUGUGGACCUCCAACGAUAGAACCUGAAACCCCAAAAUCUAAUAUGCGUCGGUUAGUGCAAGCCUCACCAAUUGUCUUGCAAUCAGAAACUUCCCUUACCAACUCCUCGUGGUCGUGGUCGAGCAACAUUUUCAUGAUUAUAUAUACACUGUAGUUUUACCUGAAGUCAAAGCUGAGUUUGCAUGACAUUAAGAACCAUUGUAUGUUCCUGCAGAUCGUUGGCUGAGCUUACACCCUUCAUAAAUUUUGAUGGAAUGAGGUCUUUCAAUCAACAUAUAAACCCAACUUUUGUUUUUCUUUAUUGCUUUUCAAUUUCUCGUUCUAUAUUUCCAUUGAUGCUGCCAUUGUGGAUUAUGAUAACUGUUAGUACCUCAUCCUUACUGUCCUGACACUUACUUGGUUGGGAAUAUUACGCAAAAUCUCAUCCACGGGUGAAAUAAUUCAUUGCUAAGAGAUGUGGCAAUAUAUUUAAUGCAUGCUUAUAUCAUCCGGGCAGUAUAUAAUAGAUGUGGCAGUAUAUUAUGCAAAAUUUCAUCCAAAGGUUAAAUAAUUUCGUCCAUGUUUCCUUUCCGAGAGAUGCACAUUUUGUUUUCCUGGUAUAUUUGAUGCACGAUGCAAUUUUUGCUGGCCCUCUAGUGUUUGUGUCUAGUUUGUCCAGUUAGGUGCAUCUGUGCUGGAUCAUACAUGUUAUCACUACGUGGCAAAUAUGAACCUAGCGCGAACUAAGAAAUCUCAUGUUCUACCAUAAAGCACCAAAUGUCCAUAUAUGUAUUGCAUUUAACUUGACUCUUUUCAUUUGUUAUGAACUUCUGCUCACGCGCUUAAGUGAAUCUUCUUUUUCAGGAAAUUUUGCAACUAGAGAUUAGAAGGAUUGUUCUAAAAUGAUGGAUGAAGUAAUGUGUUCUUUUAGCGGAGCUUUGUAUGUUUGCAUAGUUUUCACUCUUCAAAAUGAAGCUUGGAAAAUUUCAGAAAAUUUUAGCGGACUUAAGCUUCAUGUAUGAGAGAUUGUCAUUGGGAAUAGAUGCAUUUUUGUUGAAGAAGUAUUAUGUCAGAUUUACUAUCUUGUAAACUAUGUUUGAAAUUAAACCUGGAUGGCUGAUUCAACAUUUUCUUCUUUGUUGUUGUGAAACGACCUUUGCAUGUGUAAUUCAACAUGUCUUUUUGGUGAGUUUAUA